CCGGAUUAGAUACCCGGGUAGUCCCAGCUGUAAACUAUGCAAACUCAGUGAUGCAUUGGCUUGUGGCCAAUGCAGUGCUGCAGGGAAGCCGUUAAGUUUGCCGCCUGGGAAGUACGUACGCAAGUAUGAAACUUAAAGGAAUUGGCGGGGGAGCACCACAAGGGGUGAAGCCUGCGGUUCAAUUGGAGUCAACGCCAGAAAUCUUACCCGGAGAGACAGCAGAAUGAAGGUCAAGCUGAAGACUUUACCAGACAAGCUGAGAGGUGGUGCAUGGCCGUCGCCAGCUCGUGCCGUGAGAUGUCCUGUUAAGUCAGGUAACGAGCGAGAUCCCUGCCUCUAGUUGCCACCAUUACUCUCAGGAGUAGUGGGGCGAAUUAGCGGGACCGCCGCAGUUAAUGUGGAGGAAGGAAGGGGCCACGGCAGGUCAGUAUGCCCCGAAACUCUGGGGCCACACGCGGGCUGCAAUGGUAACGACAAUGGGUUCCGAAUCCGAAAGGAGGAGGUAAUCCUCAAACGUUACCACAGUUAUGACUGAGGGCUGCAACUCGCCCUCACGAAUAUGGAAUCCCUAGUAACUGCGUGUCAUUAUCGCGCGGUGAAUACGUCCCUGCUCCUUGCACACACCGCCCGUCGUUUCAUUGAAGUGAGCUUUUAGUGAGGUGACGCCUGAUUGGCGUUAUCGAACUUGAGGUUCGUGACAAGGGAAAAGUCGUAACAAGGUGACCGUAGGGGAACCUGCGGUCG
rnacentral:rRNA from 1 species